rnacentral:rRNA from 1 species
AUACGGAGGGGACUAGCGUUGUUCGGAAUUACUGGGCGUAAAGCGCGCGUAGGCGGCUUAUCAAGUUAGGCGUGAAAGGCCUGGGCUCAACCCGGGAACUGCGCUUAAUACUGGUAGACUUGAGUCCGGGAGAGGGUGGCGGAAUUCCCAGUGUAGAGGUGAAAUUCGUAGAUAUUGGGAAGAACACCAGUGGCGAAGGCGGCCACCUGGCCCGGUACUGACGCUGAGGUGCGAAAGCGUGGGGAGCAAACAGGAUUAGAAACCCCGGUAGUCC